rnacentral:rRNA from 1 species
UACGGGGGGAGCAAGCGUUGUUCGGAUUUACUGGGCGUAAAGGGCGCGUAGGCGGCCACCGCAAGUCGACUGUGAAAUCUCCGGGCUUAACCCGGAAAGGUCAGCCGAUACUGCGGGGCUAGAGUGCAGAAGGGGCAACUGGAAUUCUCGGUGUAGCGGUGAAAUGCGUAGAUAUCAAGAGGAACACCAGUGGCGAAGGCGAGUCCCUGGACAACACCUGACACUGAGGCACGAAAGCUAGGGGAGCAAACAGG